GACGUAGGGAGCGAGCGUUGUCCGGAUUCAUUGGGCGUAAAGAGCGCGUAGGCGGUCGUGUAAGUCGGUUGUGAAAUCCCGGGGCUCAACCGCGGGACUGCGUCCGAUACUGCACGGCUCGAGGCAGGUAGGGGAGAGUGGAAUUCCCGGUGUAGCGGUGAAAUGCGCAGAUAUCGGGAGGAACACCGGUGGCGAAGGCGGAUCUCUGGGCCUGUUCUGACGCUGAGGCGCGAAAGCGAGGGGAGCGAACAGG
rnacentral:rRNA from 1 species